AUAGGGGGACCAUCCCCUAAGGCUAAAUACUAACAUGUGACCGAUAGCGAACAAGUACCGUGAGGGAAAGGUGAAAAGAACCCCGAAAGGGGAGUGAAAAAGAACCUGAAACCUUGAGCCUACAAGCAGACAGAGGGCAAGAGCCUGAUGUCGUACCUUUUGUAGAAUGGGCCAGCGAGUUAUCAUAUAUAGCAAGGUUAAAUCUUUAAGAGAUGAAGCCAAAGCGAAAGCGAGUCUUAAUAGGGCGAAAGUUAGAUAUGAUAGACCCGAAACCGGGUGAUCUAUCCAUGGUCAGAGUGAAGGUGAAGUAAAAUUCACUGGAGGCUCGAACCGGGUGCGGUUUAAAACGCAUCGGAUGAACUGUGGAUAGGGGCGAAAAACCAAACGAACCCGGAGAUAGCUGGUUCUCCUCGAAAUAGCUUUAGGGCUAGCCUAUGACCAAAGAUUUAAGGAGGUAGAGCACUGACUGGCCUAGGGCGGCUAACCGUACCAAAGCCUAUCAAACUCCGAAUGCCAAAAAAUCAAGUCAUGGAGUCAGACUUAGAGGGAUAAGCUCCUAAGUCGAAAGGGAAACAGCCCAGACCGACAGCUAAGGUCCCAAAAUCUGAAUUAAGUGGAAAAGGAUGUGAACCUACUAAGACAACCAGGACGUUGGCUUAGAAGCAGCCAUACAUUUAAAGAAUGCGUAAUAGCUCACUGGUCAAGUGGGUUUGCGCCGAAAAUAAACGGGGCUAAAAUUCAGUACCGAAGCUUCGGAUUGAUAGAGAAUUUAAAAUUGCUCAAUCAACUCUAGAACAAACAUAAAGAGAAGAAAAGGUAAAACUUAGACGGAAAUAUUACAAUACAAUCAAGAUAAAACGAGUUAUUCAAAAUUUACGCAAAUAUCAAACACUAAGAUAAAGGUAAGUUGUAAAUAACUACGAUUAUCACCGAAAACAAUCGCAUAUAUUAAUAUAUGUAACUGGUUUAAAAUAUAGUCGGCACUUUGACAAAUCUAAGAUUUGAAACAGUGCGACAUUUGACCUACUAACAAAUCAAAGAUUUGAGUUAGGUCAAGAAAACGUCAAAGUAUUUACCAGCAAUUUUAAAUACUCUAUCAGUGGUAGAGGAGCAUUGUAUUAGGGAAGAAGCCCAAGCGAAAGCAGGCGUGGACUUAAUACAAGAGAGAAUGCUGGCAUGAGUAGCGAGAAGGAGUGUGAGAAUCACUCCCGUCGAAACCCUAAGGACUCCUGAGCAAGGCUCGUCCCCUCAGGGAAAGUCGGGACCUAAGGCGAGGCCAAAAGGCGUAGCCGAUGGAUAACAGGUCUAUAUUCCUGUACCGCUUAAAGUCGCUAUAGAGAAGUGAUGACGCAAGAGGAUAAGCUAAGCUGCCCGAUGGAAGGCAGUCUAAGCACAAAGGCCGAUUAGUAGGCAAAUCCGCUAAUCAUAAAGCUGAUGUGUGAUAGGUAUCGAAAACAUGAGUAGAGAAGUAGCCGAUUUCAAAUUGCCAAGAAAAGUCACUAUCAA
rnacentral:rRNA from 1 species